GACGUAGGGCGCGAGCGUUGUCCGGAUUUAUUGGGCGUAAAGAGCUCGUAGGCGGCUUGUCGCGUCGUCCGUGAAAACCUGCGGCUCAACUGCAGGCUGGCGGUCGAUACGGGCAGGCUGGAGUUCGGUAGGGGAGACUGGAAUUCCUGGUGUAGCAGUGAAAUGCGUAGAUAUCAGGAGGAAUACCGAUGGCGAAGGCAGGUCUCUGGGCUGACACUGACGCUCAUGCACGAAAGCGUGGGGAGCAAACAGG
rnacentral:rRNA from 1 species